CGCAGAGCCGCCCCUUUCCUCUGCUCUGCCGCUCGUGUCCGCUGUCCCGGGGGAUCGGCAGAGGCGGGGAGGCACCCACGUGUUCAAACUCACGCCCUGAGUGGGUCGGAAUUAAAAAAGAGGGGCAUCAAUACUAUGGAUAUUUCAAGUCUCCAGAGAGCUCUGCUUCGAAGGAAAGAGACAGCAGAGCGCCUGCAGCAGAACCAAAGCUUCAGCUCACUGAAUUCUCUGCUUUUUCCUCCCACUUCUACAAAACCACCCUUCAGACCACCAUUGCUCCAGCCAUGGAAGCAGUGUAGUGAAGGCCCAUGAGUCCAUGUGGGAGCUCAGGCAGGGAGGAGGAGGAGGAGACCCAAGUGGCUGUUUUCUCAGUGCUGAGGAUGAUGUGCCCUGCUGCCAUGUGCCAACACCUGCACUGGGCUCCUCGGUCUUCCAUGGGGGUCUCAGCACUGUGAAUCACCACAGCCAUCCCUGCACCACAUCCUCCAGACAGAGCCACGCUGCAGCUCAGGGCAUUCCAUGAAGAAAUUGCUUUCUCAUGACUAAAUGUCAGCAUAGAGAAUGAAUGAAGAAAGACCACAAAUUUACUUAAAAUCUGCAACCGACUCCUCAGCGCAGAGGAAAGACUGGCAUCAGUGUCAUGUCCUGAAGCAGUGUCAUGUCCUGAAGCAGAUGCAGGAAGAACAAUUACUUGUGUUCACAGUAUCCUUAAGGUUGGAAAAGACCACCAGCAUCAUCUAACCCAACCAAGGGGCAGUCUGCUCAGACACAUCUCUUGUCUAAGAGCUUCCAACUUAGUGCAGUUUCCUUAUCCUCGUGCCUAAGGGACAGCACCAGGGACACCAAGGCACACAGUCCUUGUAGGCAUGGCUGGCUGCCAGCCACCCUUGUUCUCUGGUUAAUAGAGGAGCACAUGGAACCGUUGUAGGUAACAUGACCACUGCACGAUCCCGUCAUAGCCAGAAAUGUUUCAGCUGCAUCACUGCUAUAUAUUUUCUUUCCUGCAGCAUCUUAUUUGCCCUUGGUUGUAAGAGGACUGAGCUGAUGUUAGCAUUGUUUUCAGUUCUUCAGCAAAAAUAUUGGUGUUUUUUCUUAAGAAAAAGGCAUGAGCGGAUGAUGUAGUUUUGACUGAUCUGAUAAUAAGUAUAGGAGAAAGCACUCGGUGUGGUUGCAUUGCCCUUUUGUCCUGGGCUGCAGAUGGUCAGUGAAGCUGUGCUCACCCCUCCCAGGUGCUAACACUCAGCCUCUGCUGGGCAGAUGAAGCACAGCUGGGUAAUGAGCAGGUCCUGAUGGGCAGUGUUUGUUGGCCUGUGAACCUACCUUGCCUAUUUAGGGACCUGACCCAAACCAGGGAGCUCAGAAACGUGGUGCUCUCAGCUGUAGCCAUUCCUCUUCUUUAAAUUCAGUAGGUGUGCCUUUGCCACCAGCAGCAUCCUUGGAUUCCAGGCACCAUUCACAUCCUGCUGUUUGGGAAAUGGUCAUUGCCACCAGUCUGGGAAGAAUGUAUUUCUGCCCUUCUGAUAACCCACCAGAGGUCCCCUGAGGGCUGGGAUUCACGUUGCUUUCUGCCCUGAGGCUGUAAGAAACAGCAGUUUGGUGAUUUCCUUGGCUCUGUGUUGCUUGCCACUGGACCAGCUGGCACUGGACGAAAGAGAGCGGCUGCACAUCUUCCUGCUCCUGGUGGUUGGGACUGUUAAAAGUCAGCCCUGUGCCACAGGUUGCCCCAGCUCUUCAGGUGAUAACCUGCUUCAGCAGCAGCUGUGCACAGAAUUUACUGGGCUGCAGCUGGGAAUCUUUCUCUUUGAUCCAUCUCUGCUAUUAAACAGCUUGUGAUAACGCCACUGAGCUCACAUCGAGGAGGGGAAGCCGAGCAACCUCAAUAUUGGAGCUGAGCAGCAGUGGGGUGCCCAUCUUAAAGCUGCAUCACCUCACUGUCUUCAAAAGCAAAGGAGCUCCUUUUAUAGCAGCGAGCUGCUCUCCAGGAAUGAUUAAAGUCUCGUAAACGAGCACCUUCCUCAUCACAGAGCUGUCUGCUGACGGGGUGCCAAGUACAACAAGCCCAAUCCAAAGCAUCAUCCCCUCCAUGGGGCUAAUUGUUGUUGCCUUGUCUCUUGAACAAGAAGAGUGGUAAGGGAAAGCAGAGCCUGGAGACACACGCACAUCCCUGUACAGAAAUAACCCCUGAAAUAGAACUGACAAGCAAUUGAGGAGUCGGCCUGUGGGCUGCAGACAAAGCACAGAGCAAAGGAGAUAACCGGCAGUGAGCACUGGGAAAUAAUGCCCUAAAUUCCCUCUGAGCCCAUUCAUCACCGUGGCUUCGGCGAUCAUCUCAGCAACAAAUUCCCCUAUCAUCCAACUGAAAUUCGAUGUUAAUGACCUGUCUGUUAUUUCAGGGGGAGAUUGUCUGGAACCGGUGGGUAAUUGGUAGGAAAAAUCGCCGGGUACAGCAAAGAGCUGAUGCUACUGGAGUCGUUACACCACGAGAGAGGGAGAUUAGGGAGCUCUGCUUACCACAAGGGGCUUAUUCAUCCUGAAUAAAUGCAUUAGCUGCCCAGAGCUGUCCUCUUAUGCCCUUGUUCCUGUCUGGUGGCAUCUCCCCACCACAGCUUUUCCCAGCAAACAGCAGAGAUGCAGCCCAGAAGAAGCUGCUAGAAUCAUAGAACACCCAGAGCUGGAAGGGACCCAUAAGGAUCAUCGAGUCCAACUGCUGCUGUUGAGACGAUCACAGUAAGGAAUAACCUGCUCUCUCCAAGCUCACACUGAUGUAUGCGUUUAUUCUGGAGUUCUCUCAGGAAAGACCAUAAUUACUCUAAUUUCUUAAUUACCGAAAUUAUUCAGAAUGACUCUGCAAACACCUCUGCCCUGCAACGUUUUGCACGAGCAGCCUCCCAGAUUGCAGCAGCGUUAGGAUUUGGGUUUGUUCCUCUGCUGGAAGGAUUUGCUGCGUUCAUUGCCAUUUCUCCUUGCCAUCAUGUUAGCGGGGCAGCCUGCAGCCCUCACCAAAAAUAGGAUAACUGGAGAGCAUCAGGGGAGAGCUAGAAGCAAGUCCAGAGGUAAAGCCUUGGCUCUGUUGCAAAGGAUAGCUUUGCUGGGACUUGAUGUCUGUGCUUUUUCUCAACAGUUUCUCAUUCCCAUCUUGCUAACGGGACCAGCACCAGUCAUGUUUCGGUGAGCACACCUGCUUUAUAAAUUAGCUCCCAGGAGUAUUUGCAAAAACAGAGCUGAACUGCAUGGCCACGGGACUGGGUUUGCUGCAGAAAUACCAGCACGUAUUCAUAAUAAAGCAGCUGCACGCUUUGCCCAGCUCUGUCUGUAACUUCCCGUCAUGUCCUGUACCUUUCUGGGCAGAAAGAAUGGGUGGUAGUGGUGGGAAAAUUGCAAAAUCCUCCUUGGCUAGAUGAAGCAAUUAUUUUUGAUGCAGAUGGGGCUGCUUUUAACCCUACGUAUUCCAAACAUCUCUGUAUAACCCUAUGGGUUCUCCACCGUUGUAGGCAGUGAUGGAGAAGGAAAAAAAUGGGUGAGUAGGAUUUAACACCCAGCCAGAACUGAACUGUACAACACCCGACUGCAGAAGGGUCGGUUCUAUGCCCUUUAUGCGCAGUAGGCACCGCUGCUGCCUGUCCCCAGCAUGGCACGAGUUGGGGACCAUGAGUGGUGAGGAGCUCUCGUGGUGCCUCUCCCUGAGCUGCAGGCACAAAGGUUGGAUUUCUUCCCUAUGGCUGCGUGAAGAGCUGCUGACUGCUCCACCAGGAACUGAGGCAAUAAUCCCAGCUUGUCGUUCUCCUUCUCAUGGGAGACUUCUUGUGCAAAAGAAGCAUCAGUAGAAUGAAUCAAACGCUGCGGUAGUGGCCCCAUUCCCACGUGCUCUGUGUGCUCUUCCUCUCGACUCACCGGUGAGGAGGCGGUAUCAUGGGGAGGCUGUUCUGAAAAUGCUUUUAAUUGAUUUAGUUCAUAGCUGUGUUGGAGCAGGAAGGUGUUCCUUCCUUGUGCCCGGGAAUGGCAGAAUGUCCUCCAGCUGCCCCCAGAGAUGCAGCGCUGUGCCCGGGUAGCACUGCCUUGCUGCUGGCCAUCCGUGCCAAGCCUGGGAAUGAAAGCUUUGGCAACAGCCUGGACCAAGCUCUGGUAUCUUCCUUAUCGAGAAGCAUGCUGAUUACUGCAGACAAAUUGGAGAUGAACUUGCCUCUAGAGCCCAACGUGUUUGUGAAAUGAAUUGCAGUUACAUGGGGAUUUAUUAUUUCUGCAAAAGAGGCUUUCUUAUCAUGAUUUUUCCUUCCAUCUUGGACUCAUUGCUACCAGACCAGGAACCUUCAAACAGAUGUGUUUGGAGCCUUGAUGUGGGCUCACAGUGGCUGGGAAUCUUCUUGUUAUUCCUACAAAAAACAGACUCCAGCUGGAGGGGAAGAAGAGCCUCCAGCAUUAGAGAUGACCUAAACAGCACAUGUUGCAAAUGAGAUGGGAAGUGGAGAACUGCUUGAAACAUCUCUGGCCCUUUCAGCAGAACUGUUUUCCCUUUGCCUUCUCAAGGCUGAGCUGCAGACAUUGCAAGAAUGACCCCAGCAGACUGCUGCUGUUUCUGUUUUGCAUGUUCACAAGGCAGCUUCUGAAAUAAGUUUGCACACUGUUGAUCUUGCACUGGACAGCCUCACAUCAGGUGGCAGGGAAGCCCCUGCUCAUGCUGCCCUGACCCUGCUGCUCUUACUUCCCAUGCUGAUGCAUCAGUGCAUGAUGUGGCUGGAAAUGAGGUGGUGCAGGGUGGUCUCCUUGGGUUUUGCAGCUGAAAUAGGUUACUGAGCUCCUGAAGGCAUCCACCAGGAUUGCUAUGGCCUGGAACAGCACUAGGAAAGAUGCUCUGCUUCAAGCUGGGGUUGUGCUGGUGGUGGGAGCUGGGGAUUUCAAAUCUUCCUACAGUUGGAUAUUUCAACCAAUGGCAUAAAUAAUGGAAAGCCUUCCAAAAGAAUGCCAUCCUAAGGGCUGUUCCCCUAAGAAGAAAUGCAGGUCAGGAAAUACAUUGGCCAUAUGAGUUUGUGAGUCCUUUCAAUUGUGAACAGUGCACUAAUCAAGAUUUGGCUAAUGGGUAUGCUGGGAUAUGCACACAGAUAUGCUCUUCUUUUGAGUCUUUCUCUUUACCUUUCAACCCCUGAAAUCAUCCAAGCUGCUAACACUCUGAGGAGGAUGAUGCAGCAAAAAUAAUAGUUUUAGCAAGAAGCAGAAAAAUGAGAUUAGCAUCUGUUUUUCUGGGAAAAAUAUCAACUUUUCCUGCUUAGAAAAUGAAUGGGUUGGAAACCAGCUUGUAAAACUCAAAGCCUGAUUCAGGCACUGAUUUGUCACGGGGCUGUCACCUGCAGUCACUGUUAGAGAGGAGCCCUCAAUGUUCUGUCCAAAAGGAACGAUUGCUGUCUGAGUUAUUGAUGGAUUCGUAUGUGGGGAAGAGCAAAUCCUGGUCAAGCUGGAGGACUUUUGCACACAUUCAGCAGCGGGUGAGUAAAGUUAGUGGAAUACAGAACCAUCCCUGCUCGCUGCAGAGCAGCCCCCAAGGAGCACAGUGAUAAAUGAAUUGCAGAAAGCUUGGAGCUUCAACUCGGCCAGGGGAAAUAACGCUGUGUCUAUCUGAUCUCUGCAAACCUGGCUUUCCGCUUAUGUGCCUGAUGAUAAAUCAGCAGUAAAUGUGCUUAGGUUGGCACGCCAAGUUUUUCCCUGGAUGCUGUUCUGUAGGCACGCACUUUCUUCACCACAAGAGUCCAGAUCUGGUGCAGAAACCACAAGCGUGGUACAGGCAGGCGGCAUCCCAUCCCAACACCAUUGCAUUGCCCUUGGCCUGCCAGCCAGAGCCAGCCCAGCACAGCCAUGGGAGAAGGAUGGCAGGCACUCCAGGAGGACCUCUUCAAACUGCAGAGAAGGUCUGAUUUUGAAACUGGGGCAAAAGUUGAAAUAGGAUUUAAUUUUAUCUCAAUUGAUUCAUCUGUCCCUAAUUAGAAAUAGCUUCCUAAUGCAUGACGUAAGGAUACGAGGAGGGUUGUUUUUUUUUUAAUGAAUGACUCUUGGCUGAGAUGAAAAUAUUGCUGUUCUCAGAUAGUUCUUUUUAUAUGCCAAUAGAGAUUUGUGCAGUCUAAGAUGAAAAAUACAUGAGAUCCUGCAGUCACACACGCUGCAGACUAAACUCUUACAGAUUAUAGAUCCUGUCUCAUUCCCAUUUUGUACAUCCCAUUUUAGUAUCUGCAUUUGCUUUUACUGAGAGAGGAGCCUCAGUCUCCCAGAAUUGCAGUGUGUGAUGCUGUGCAGGGAUGGAGCAAAAACUGAUCCUUACACCCAAGGCAGUUUCUCACGGGAACAGUGUGAAAUUGCCCAUUUUUCUAUUUUCAGGAUGAAAGUUGUGCCUGCUUUGCCUUAUUUUCUCUUUCUGUCCUCUUCCCCGUUUCUUCUCUCCUUCCUGCCCGUGGGUCAAGGGCUGGAAGUAAAGCUGAAGCCGCGUGGCAGGAUGCAGGAGGCGGAGCAGUGCAUUGAGUUGCAUGAUGCCAGGCAGCAGGAGGUGUGGGCUGCCCACUACCUGUUCCUGGACAGCAUGGCCAGGAGAUGGAGGUAAUCCCUCUCACCUCAUAGUGCACUGCUCUUCCACAUCAUUCCCCUGCUCCUACUCAUACCUCCUCAUGCCAUCCAACAUAUUUUGUCCCAAUCCUUUGCCUUCACACCCUUGAAACCCUUCCAGGCUGCUAUCGUGUCCCUUUCUCCAACUCACCUCUCCAAACCAAGCCAUACCCCCAGGCUCCAGUCCCAUCCCAUAAAUCAGUCUCUCCAAGGCCCUGACCGUAUUCUGAGAUUUCCAGGGGCUGUGCGGCUCCUCCUGGGCUCACAUCUCUUCUCCCUGCAACAAUAAAAGGCUGGAGACACGCAGUGGGGUGAGGCUCGGGUUUCUGGGCUCGUUUUAUAACUGGCGCUGGGGAUGCUUUGCGCGGAGCCCUCCAUGCAGUGAGGAAGCAGGGCAGGACAUGUUGAGCAGAUGGCAAUUCUGGACUGCAGAUGAGGGCUGAGUUACGGCGCUCGCAGCACAUCUUUGAUACACGUCCAGCUUUUAUCAGAUGGUUCCACUCAGUGUUUGGCACAGCUGAUGUGAAGGGAAGGCCGAGGAGCAGACCUGCAGUGGGAGCAGCCCCCCAUCCCUAGGGCUGUCCCCCUCUGUGCGCUGAGCUGGGACUUCCCCUGCUUCUCCCACUCCUCCGGUACUGACACAGCUUUAUCCUGCAUACAAAACUGCUGAUAUGCUUAAAGCUCCCCUAGGCUGCACAGGCUCUUCUCCCUUUGCCACAUCAGCGCGUGUUGCAAGCAGCUGGGAGGAUGGAGAGCAUGUGAGCAUUUCUUGGAGCUAGAAGGCUCUGCUCCUCGGGUUUUGGCUUCAGAUGACCCACACUUCUAAUACACUCUGCACUUAAUUCACUCUUGCCAGUGCAAAUGCUCUUAUUUAUGAGGUUGGUAAUCACUUUCUAUCAACACGCUCUGGAAGUCUGCUUCACCCACAGAACAUUCCUUCAAUAAAUCCUCCCCAUGAAUAUUCCCAGCCCAAGCUGAGCCCAACGCCUACUUGUGGUGUAGGAGAGGCUUUCAAAGGACUCUCACUGAGUUGGGUUGGCUUAAAGCACACCUCAAGCCUUGAUGCAAGUGGCCCCAGGUAAGCUCACAAGAAGGAAACCCAAGCCUUUCCCAAACUCCUUGGAAACACUGAGUUUGGUGUCUUCUUCCUCCUUAACUUAAAAGCCAAGAAAUGUCUGUGCAGGAGAAUCAAUCACAUCACAAAGGAACCUUCUGGAUCCCAUGAAUGCCCAUUCUUUAAGCCUUAGAAUUUUACCCAUCCCCCUUUCAGGAGGGAAUGCAGAUAUGUUUUCCAUUGGAAAUAUCCCCAGGGUCUCAUGCCUCAUGCUGAGCAGCAAUCCCUGUGUCAAUUAAAAUGUGUUAUUCUGUUGAGCUCACCCUUGGGUCGAGCCAUAGGGCAGCAGAGGUCCAUGCCAGGACAGCGCCAAUGAACACAGAAUGGAGCAUCUUUAGCUCAGAGCUUUCUGCUCUGUAUCUUUCAGCUCCUUCAUGGACCAACCAGAGCCCAUAUUGAUGCCAUUUACUCAGCUGUCAAGUGGGUUUUUUAUCCUAAUGCUCCACGGUGGGGAAAUAGGAACCUGCAAUGAACUUGCUUCAAAUCGAGACAUAUUUAACUCGAAUAAACCAGCGGCCGGGCUGAAUAAACACUGCAGGCACUUCAGAAAGGAUGUUAAGUUGACAUAAGAUCUGUUGGGUGAGUUCAAGAAAUGGGAGAUUUGAUGCUGAAGUCAUAAAUCUGCUGGGUUAAAAGGGGGAUACUGCUGAGCUCUGCAUCUCAGUGAGAGACAAAGGCAGGAUGUUUGCUGUCCCAGUCUGUGGGCAGCAGGUUUCUGUCCUAUGGCAGCUGCUGAGGAGUGUGGGCUUCAUCUCCACCGCUCUCUUCAAAGCCGAGCAGGUUUUGCUGACAAAAGCUGGCACACGGACAUCAUGAAGAGCAAUGAAGAGCAGGGCUGCUGUGCCAGUGUUGCUGGUUCCAGCUGGGACAGCCCCAUGAGUUGCUGGGAGCUGAGGCAGCACUGAGUCCCUUGGCUCUCCGGAGGCACUGUGGCAGGGAAACAGCUCUCUGUGUCCUUUUCCAAAGCACAAGGAUAUGGGUGCAGCUGCAGAAACAUGUAUUGCCCUCAGACUGUACUCUGCAUGGAGCAUCCGCUGGUGCCCCAUCUCUGAAGGCACACUUGGGAGCCUGAAACUGCAUUUGGCCCCAUUCUGGGUAGAGCAAAAUCGUGUGCAGUACUGAAGUCCCAUUUAAUUUCUUAGAGUUGUUGCAAUGCUCCUAGGGUUGGCACAACUCAGGCUGAGCGGAAAGGAAGGUAUGGAUGUGGCUACGGUUUCUGCCUCCAGCUCCAGCUCUCAGGUCUUGAGGAAGAAGGUUAUGCUUCCUCUGUCCAGUGUGAUGCAUCUGGGGCUGCUCUGAGCAGAACACGCGCCACGUCCCUGUGUGUUCGCUGCCGGAGGGACUCAGUGGGUCAAGGGGUGAGAGCUUACCCCAGCCUGAGCUGAAGGAUCGCAGAUGUUUCAUAUUUCUGCUCCAAAGAGAGGGAGAGAGAAGCUGCAGAGAAGACUGCAAUAUUUUUUUUCAAUACAUUCCAUAUGUUUCCUCCAUAAGUCAUGAUUAAAAAGUGGUGCUGGUCCAAAUAGAAAUAAGCCUGCAGGCUUUUCUGCUGCUUUUGGAGGAAGAAGCAGACUCAGUCUGAUUCACCCCUAAGGGGAGAAGGGCUCUGAGCUGACUUGAGAACAUGUUUCCAUUGGACUUGUCAUCCACGCUGUCCCUGCUCCCAGCAUUGCUGUUGUCUUGGCAAGAAGCACUUCUCAGCCCUGGCUCCACCUUCCUGGUGGAAUACACCAAAUACUUGUCCCCAGGUGCCUGACAUCAAUGCAGGGUGCACAACCCAUUGUUACGGGACCAGAACACACAGGGACUGCAAAUGACUUAUUUCCUUGCUACCAUUUCCACUCUGCUCGCUGAGGUCCAGACACUGCAGAAAAAAAUGGCAGGUUCGGAGGGAGGAGGAAAAGCCAGCACCCACGAGGGGAAGGAAUUUGCUCUCUCCAAAAGGCCACGCUUGGUAUAAUUAUGCCAGCCAAACGUGCACAGAAGCCUUCAGCAAUUCCUGUGGUAAUCGUUUCAUAUGUGUGGGAUUUUUUAGGCUAGAGCAUAAUUACGGCUAAUUGCUGUUUGAUUUUGUUCCUGUUUAUAUAGCCAGUAAGGGAGUCGUUGAAAUGUCUUUACUGAAAGACUUUCUCCCUUCCUUUUCCUUCUCUUUUUCUUAAAUCAUCCUGGAAAAGAAAAGAAGGGAUCGUGUUGCAACACGGCGAGUUGUGAAUGGCCAUCAGCUGUCCAACAUCUCACAGCAAAGAGCCACGUUCAGAGCUGAUGUUUUCCCAGCACUGGGAACUGACGGUGCGCUGAUUUGCAGAACUAACGAGGACUUGCAAAGAUCUUGGCUGUUGGUUAAUGAAACCCUCCUGGGCAGGAGGCUGAGGCUGAAUUUAUCUGGGGAGAUGGGAGGAUCUGGACUGCUUCUUGCAGUCUGUUCACUAGAGCCCACGGAGAGAGAAGUGGGGCUGGUGGGGCUCAGCACAGCUCCACCACCAGGAGCUCCUCUUGGCAUGGCCAUUGCCUUUGUCAUGCCUGGUUAUCUUUUCUCAGCCCUGGUUCUUAACAUAGUUGUCCCACAGCAUGACUCAAUGGGAAUUAGGCAUCAAGUUUGCUCCGAAUGUUGGGAGUUUCCAUGUUCAGAUGGCCUGCAGUGAAGCCAGAAGCCAGAUGAUCCAUACAUCAACCCAUCCAAACAGACCUAUGUGUCUUUGAGGCUUUACUUUUUGUUUGGAAAAUUGGCUGUAUGUUUGGGUGCUUGCGCUCACGUUGCCUUUAAACGCAUCCUACCUCACUUGAAUGCAAUGUUCCUCCAGAUGGAGGAGAGUCAGCAGCUCACGGAGGCUGUGAUAUUCUCAUUCCUGAGCACUGCAUCCUUCAGAGGGGACCGAGAACACACGAAAACUCUCUUGGCUGUGGUCAGCCCUCAGCAGCUGCCCCAGCCCCGUGCCAGACACACGCUGGAUUAGAGGGUGCAGGGUGCUGUUGCUAUGGGACAAGGUGGAGGGAGCAGGCAGGUGCCACUCGUAGCCCUCUGCUAUGGAGAAUGCAGAUCUUGUUUGCUCUGCUUUUUUUUUUUCUUCUUCUUUUUUUUCCAUUUUAAUGCUCUUUCUAUCUGGCUUCUGCCUCUGCUCCAGGAAGCCAAAUUAGCUCAUGGUCUGAGGCUCCAGCACUGAAUAUAAGCAGAAGCAAGCUGACAUCAGCUUGAAAUAGAAGCAGUAAUAGAGCUGUUUACUGUCAUGUUUCACUUUGACGAUUCAAGGGAGCAGGAAACAAUCCCAGGGCAUUGGGCACUCACACAGCCACCAAAAGCGCAUCCCUGAACCCAACUGAAUCCAUCACAAAGGCUCGGGAGCAGCAAAGUGGGGGGAGUUUUAGUGCAAGCGUGCCCAGAACACUUUAAAAUCCAUCAGAUUCUUUGCCCAAACACCAUCUCUGUGUGCUCUGAACCAACAGAGCCAGGAAUCUGGUAAACCAAGCACUUUGGCUGUGCCUGGGCUGUAGCCACACAAGUGUAAGACAUCACCUACAUCCUUCACAUGGUGUUAAUUAACAGCUAUGUAUGGGGCUGUGCUUCUCAGCCUGACCGAAAGCUGGAAGCCCAAGUCUCGAAUUCUCCCGGCCAGGAUGCAGCAUUUGCUCAGGGAAUACCAAAGAAAGAUGGAAAAGCAGCCCCACAGCUGCCUGCUUGUGCCUUGGGCAGAGCCCUUGUGGCUGCUGGUUGUCUCUGGAAGCUGCUGCCUCCCCCUGGCACUGCACUCUGCAUGGUAUGGAGUGUAUUUUUAACUAGGAAGAUAAUGAGACAGUGGCAGCUCCUCCCUGCAAUUCUGUGUUUGGAAAAUUUCAGCCACGGUGCUUGCAGGUUAAAUAGCAGGCAGAAGGAGAAUGAGCUCUUGAUUAAAAUAUGUCUAGACAGCCUUCUGUGUUUUUAAGUCCUAAUUUAGAGGACCGAGGUAGGAAGGGAUUUACAUCAUUUCCAACAUCUGACCCGUUGUUUCUGAUGGUGGUAAGACAGCUGGCACAGCCAGCCCUCACUUUUACCUGCAGUCUCAGGACAUUCAGUGACUGCAGCCACGUGUGUGGCUAUGGAAGAACUCUUUUUUUGUGACAACAGGAAAUACUCAUUUCUAAUGGUCGCAGAGCAAGUGAGACCCAUAUGAACGAUAUUAAGUUUGGCGUUCCAAGCCAUCUCAUGACUUUGAAGGCUUAGUCUAGGCCUUGGGCACGCAUAUACUCCACUGCAAUUAUCACUGGCACUUGGCUUGAUUUGGAAAUCAAGCUCCAUAAGAGUCCUGUCACUAAAAGCUGUCUCUGAGCCUGCAGUUUCCAACCACCACCAACACAGCUCUGACAAUCAGCUCCAGUGCUUUCAGCAUUUGCACCACUCAGCCAUGCAUUUGGCUCCAAGGGCUCAAAGCGACGCGAGCUCACUGUCAGACGCAGUGUGAUGGAAGGGCUCUACAGCUGUUGCCCUCACAUUUGAUAGCCAGUGUUGGCUUUGUUGGGAAAAGAGGAACUGAAACUCUUCAGACUCUACCAAAAACAAGAAGCGACAUUUGGGUGUAUUUUGAAGAAAUACAGAGAAAAGAGGUAUUGGACUGUUUGGGCACCAAAUUGCUUCUGCCAAAAUGUAUAUGUCCUGUGGCAGCAGAUUGCAGUGCCACGAGGCAGGGAGCUGCUGGGCAGGGCUGUGUGCUGGACCACGGGCAGCAGGUUUCCACAGGGCUGCUUGGAAGGGCUCUGGGGAACCGAAGCAAGGAGAAGGAAGGGAGACACCAACCGAGUAAAGAUUGACUCAGAAUGAACCCCCAGAAGGGCUCUAAGUGCAACACUGCAGGACCUUCUUGACCCUUUGCAAUUGUUGCCGUGACCAGAUGCAUUGAAAAGGUGACAGGGUAAGAAAAGUGAAGACUUUGGAUUUGAAAUGAUUUGGAUUCCGUUAGCUUUAGUGCCUCCUUCUUCAGAAGGACUCCAUCCUCUGAGUGUGUAAGCAGGAUCAGGGUGAGGAUGGCACUGUGCAUCUGGAAUAGCACUUCACAGUGGUUCUGUGGGGGCGGUGGGACUUGGAAACUUAAUGAGAAACACAAGCUUGCAGAAAGGGGGUGGGAAACCGGGUUAGAUAUACAGCAGGGCGGUUUGCAUUCAGAUCGCGGGAACUGAGUAAGUUUCUGAGCUAGAGAUGUUGUCAGCUUCUUAAUGACUUCUCCAUCCAUCGCCCAUUACGUUGGGUCCGAUGCAUUUAAGAUGCGAGUCACUGCUCCAACCCUCACAGGGUGACAGGACCCGGGGGAACACAUGAGAGGUGCUCAUUCUGCGGGUGGCUGCUCUGAGCUCUGUCUGUGUCAUCACAACGGGAUCAUUCUAAACCAACAGAACCCCAGUGUGUUGCUACGGGCAGGGCAGCCCAGGCCAUUAGGCAGGGCUUUAUUUUUGGAUCUGGGUCUUGCUUUCAAGCUUUCGGCAUCCUACACUUCUUUCAGCUGGGGAUGGUCCCAUUUCCAAGAGGGGAGCUCAUUUGAGAGGCAGACAAUCUUCCCAUAGCCAUUGCCACUUGGCUGUCUGCAUACUUCAGCCCAUCACUCUCCCUGCUCCCAGUGAGCAUCUCUGUCAUCUGAAAGCUCAGAAAUCAAACUUUGAACUGAAUAAAAGCCCCUCCCCCUCCAACAUUGACUGAAAUACUCUUUAAAAACAAAUCCUUAUAUAUUCUAAACUCAAAAACAUCUGGGUUUCCAAGCCCCAGGAAAUUACAGCUCCCAUUCUGGAAAUAAAAUACAUGUUUGUCCAUAGAUUGCAUUAAUUAAACCCCAUAAUAUGGAAAGAAGCCGGUAAAAUUCUUUCCUGAUGGCUGGCAGAUUUGCAUAGCAAUUUCUCAUAUUGCUCAUUGCAAUUAUUAUUCUUAUUUAAAGGGUGACGUUUUCCUCCAUGUCAGUGCAGGGUAGGAAGAUCAAGAUCUCUCUCAGUGACCAAGGGAGAAGAACUUUUGGUCCACGUGCGUGUCUUGCAGUGGGGGAUCCCAAAUGAAGCCCCGUGUCCUGCAGCUCCUGGAAAUGCCACAUCAGAAACAUUCCUGCUACUGGGAAAAACACUUUGAAGACCAGGAAAACUGCAGACUUCAGUUGUUCUUUGUGGCUUCUGCAAUUUUUUCCUGGUGAGGUACAUUGCACGGAAAACCGUCGUGCCCGAUGUGGUCAGCAUUCUUAUUUACCAUAAGCAGAGCAGUUACACAUUGUUAAAUUAUUAUUAGCUUAGCUACCACUGGGAGGGUUGCCUCAGCCCUGCCAGCAGGGCUGAAACAAAUACCCACUGUUGCACACAGUCAACCAGCAAUGAGUUGCAUGGAUGCCCAGAACGUGUCUUGCUGCACGGCUGUCCCCCCAGGCAGCAGCCCUUGAGGAACACAGGCUGAGCUGGGAUCUCUUGCAAUGGGAUGGGUUGAACGUGUGGAUGCUUUGGAGCUGAAUCUGAAUGUUCUCAGUGUGAGCCUUCGUUCACCCGUUGUGUCAGCCCAUCCAAAGCUGAAGAAUUCACUGCCAAAGGAAAUCUGGAGCUAAAUUCUCAAUUCCAAGCUCUGACGCUGGCAAUAUUUGCACCAAGAAACCUGACAAAAUUCAGGAAGUUUUUUAUGGCCGAUUCUUUCUGCCUGGAUAGAGCUCGUGCCAACAACAAUAUCAGCUCUGUGAAAGAAUUUUAUGGUGUUUUGCUGUGCCUGUGCCAUGGGAAAAAGGGGCAAGGAUGGACUUUACGGGGUGUUUGUAGAAGGACGAAGCACAUCGUCCUCACCCAAAGGGCAGCCAUCAAAGCAAAGCUGUGGCAGCAGGCAGUUCUUCUGCUCAGCCUGAACGUGCAGGGAGCAUCCCAUGGCUGGGAGGUGACUGCAGCCUCCACAGCACUGCUGUAGGCAGACAGCUGAGACGUGGCAUUCUGCACAAACCAGUGGCUGACUCCAGGCUGGGCCGCGUCCCCCAUCCCAGCACCUCAACACUGACCCCCCCAGGAUUGCUCAGCAAUUAACUGUGUGCUCCAUGGGUGAAAUGCGUGAAGUCUUGUGACAGCCACCUCGUCCCACAAGGCAGGGGGUGCUGAGAAAGACAAAACAACCCGCUCCCUCUCCUCUCUCAUUAAAGCAAAUGUCAUCGGCUGUGAUCAGCCUCUGUGUACAUGCACACAGCCAGCAGGAGAAAAUCAAACAUCAAAAGGGAAAGAAAAGAAAAAGAGACCCGAACAGGAUAUUGACAUCAUUGGGAGCUCUGCGAAUGGAGAUGAAAUGUAAAAUGAAGUUGCAAUCUGGCUGAUAGAAGUUGAGGACACGUUAACCCUUGGGCAGACCCGCUGCUUGCAGGGGUGGGAGGAGAGCUGCUUCCAUGGGCACCUGGGCUGCGAUUUGCUCUGGAAUGUGGGAGGAAUCUGACACCCAAAUUGCUUGGGAAGUUGGACACGUCCUGCCAUGGGCUGCUCGGGAAUUGCCAGUUCUCAUUAAUCUCUGCUGUGGAUCUGACAAGUCAGCUGGAGGGAAAUGGUUCAUUUCAUUUUCUUCUCAUCGAGAUUUUCCCACCGCUCUUUCCCUCCCCGUCUGUCCCACUGAUGAGGCAAGAAAAGGAUGACAAAGCAGAAAGCGAGGGAAGAUGCAGGGUGAACGUUUCCGCCGGGAUGUUUAAUGAUGAGAAAGGAAAGAAAGCACCAAAAGAAGUUCCUGACGGAAAAUUCCUCACAGCUUUCAUGUCGCAGCCCCUGACCUUCAGCUGCCCAUAAACACCCUGCAGCCACCCCCAGCACGUUCCCAGCAGCCCGGUGGGGCUCUGCAUUGAGCCACCCUUCCACCAGCAAAGCUCAGACUGGGAAUUCAAACCCCAAAUCUGGCUGUGGGGUGCCAGCAGCCAAACACAGCCUGGUUCAGCACCCCGUGCUCUGGUACCCCAAGGGGCCAUCAUUCACCACCACAUGUGAUGUGUGGUGUGGGCACACACCUUCAGAAACCCUCAAAACCAAAUAAGAUAUCACUGUCGAUAGGAGUUCUGUGAAUAGAGAUGAGGUAUAAAAUCGAAACAAGUAUUUCCUUAUGGUCUUUUUUGUUUAUUUACUUGGGGAAAUAACCAUGCACGGAGCUGGCAUCAAGGACUGGCUUUUCAGGCACAUUUUUAGCUAACAGAAUAAAGGGAUUUAUUUCUGCAGUGAAGAAACAGAGGAAUAACUUGUAAAGGCACUCUAAUUCCAUCCAUUUGGAGCUGACUGUAGCUCUGAAGCAGCCGCAGAUAACUUAAGAUGUUGCAAGUUCAGAAGGGAUUUUUAUCUCUCUGUUUGGAGAAGCAUCGCCUUGACUUCAUCGGCACAAUCUCAGUGUGAGGCUGUAGUUUAAAUAACAGGAAGGAAGAGCAGCUGCCCCGGGUCCAAGUUUGCCCCAGGAUUUGGGAUAAAGGCCGGGCUGCCAAGCAGGGGGUCCCAAACCCCAUAGCAGCCCCAUCCCACGUGCUCUGGGGCUAUGGAGGGAUGCGGGGGACGGUUGGAUCAGAACAUCGCUGCCAUCCAGGGGAUCUGGGCAUGAAGUGUACAGGGAAGCCCUGAUGGAAGAAAACAGAGCAAUGCCAUGCUGAGCUUCCCAGAGCAGAGCAGGGUGAGCAGGUCCUGGCCCUGUGCUGCAGCCCCACUCAGACCAGUCUAUGUCUCGGUCGCUGUCUGCUCCCUGUGCCAGCUGUUAACCAGCACCACUUGCUCGGCCUGAGCUGACCCAGCCAAUACCUGGAAUUAAUGAAACAAAAAGGCCAUGAAGCAAGGAGCUGUUGUUACCUAAUGUGUCUCAUCCCCUGAGCAACGUGUCCAUCAGCACGGUGCUGCGCAUCAGGAGGGGAAGGAGAUUUGGGUGCCUCGCUGUGUGCUCAGCAGCUCGGAUCCCCUCUGCUGCUUCACCUUUCUAACCUGCAUCUCUUCUGCUGUUUUUAUAGAAACAGCCUCAAUUAUUCCCACCCUGUUCUAGCAGGCCUAGGGCCAAGCUGCUUAGCUGCAGGUUUUCCUGCUCGUGAACAGCAAGCAACACCUAUCCACGCAAUGCAGAAGAAGCAUCCCAGUGGGUUUGCAUUUGCGCUUUGCUAAAGACAGUGCUUUUGGGGCUGAAUUUCACCCAGGAGAGGCAGCAGGAGACUCUGCAGUGCUCAGCACCGGGCAGGAUCGGGGCUGCACAUCACUCUGCCACUCAGCCCUGGGAUCCCAUCUGUGGGAUAGCAUAGGGCCGGUGACACGGGACUUAUGGAGCUGUGUGUUUCAACAUACAUUUUCCAAAAGCUAUUUCAUACGUUCCAUCACGCCGAGUAAUGCGCUGGAAACCAUCCAGGCUUGGGGAUGUUUCUGUAAACGCAUCAUCUCUGCCCUUCCACUGCUUUUGCUGUGAGCAGAGGGGACCCGGUGCUCCCCCCUCCUGCUGUGGGAGCUGGGGAUGCUGCGAGGACCUCUCUGCUCCUUUGCAGUGCAGCCCUUCGUUUUCACUCUGCUUUCACAGCAGCGUUUCAUAUGGUCUGUGUCUUGAUUUCCUAGAAGCAUCCCUGCACUUCUCUGGCUAUGAAAACACCCCCACGAUGUCCUGCACGUACAGACUCAUAUAUGCAGCACACACACCCACUAGAUGGCUGUUUUCUAGCUCUUUAUUUGAUUGAAUUGUUACCAGAGGGAGGUGACAUUUUCUCACAAAGCUUUUUCUACUGCAAAAUUCAGGCUUAAAGACACCAGACUGCUCAUAAAGUGUGUAUCAAACCCGCCUAUUUCAUCAGGUAGAGAAAGCAAAACAUUAGGAGAUAUUCAGGAAUAGCUGGAGAUACACCUAUAGAACCAGCAAAUGGAUAUAUGGGAUGGGUUGAAAAUGCCAGAACUGUUAGGUUGGGAUCUGUUUCUAAAGAAGAAAAAAGAGAGUAAAUCUUGGAAUGAAACCUGGAUGCUUUGUUCAAAGCCAGGCAGAUGUGUUCCAUCUGGGUAGGAGGAGGUAUUCAAAACAAGGCCUGAUUGUUUUCCAGCAGUUUCUAAAUUGCCAAAAAAAGCCAAAUCAGCAUUGGUUCUUACAGUCUGAUAUUCAAAUCCACCCUUAUUGUGCCUAAAACACAAAGUGGCCAUUGCUUGGCACUGGAGGGGCAUGCAGAGAUGUUUUAUAUAGUACAGCGAGCACAGAAUGGCACGUUGCCCUUCAGGGUCUGUUUCAUUAGAGCCAGAAGGAAAGGACAGUAAGUGAGGGUCGUGUUCCUAUUUGAAUCUAACAUUCCACCAAUGUCUUUGAUUGCAUCCAAGCAGAGGUGGGCAUUCUGCUGCGUUUUACUCUCCUGCUGUAAACAUGAAAUAUUACUUUUAAUAGAUCUUUUCCCCUCAGAAAAAGAGGCUGAACACAUGUAAUUAGAGCAACAGGCACGUGUCUGCGUUCAGGGAGACAUCCCCAUAAAGGCAGUUGGCAUUCUGAGCAGUCUCGAGUUAAAUCUGAAGGCUGGAUCUAUCCAUCACCUAUUUUAUCAUGAAUGCUAAUUGGAGUCUGAGGGCCCUUUGAUGGAAGCAACGCGGCAAACACAGCGUGUACCACUUCCUCCAAUUUCCAGAAAGCAAUAGGCACGUGAAGUGGACGUUGGGUUUAAUUUAUACUGUGAGAAUCCCUCGCUGCACAAUGCCUCCAUUUCCAGAUAUUAUUAACAGAGCCGGAGCGUCCUUCCAUGUGUGCUGGUGGAAAGGAACGAUAAAUCAAGCAUGCUUCUGGGACGAUUGCAAAACCUCCGUGCAACUUGACUCACAGUCUAAAAAUGUGCUUGUGGAAUGGUUGUGGUUGCAUCACGUAGGUGCUGCAAAGCAAACACCGAUUUGGAGAACCUCCUCUCCCCAUCCUCGCUUCCUUGCAGCACGUGGCCAUACGUUUUCUGCCCUCUCCAGGAGCUGCUGGAUGCUGAAAGAGCAUCCCUGGGAUCGAUGGUCCUCUCCUUUCUGCUACCACAGCAGCGAGAAGGGAACUCGAACUGGGAUCAAAGAGGCUUGGUUUGGCUCCUGAGAAGAGAAUGAAGAAGGGAAGGGACAGGAGGAGCACAUCUGGAGGCUGGUGCAUGGCUGCGUGGCCUUCCCCUCCAGCGAGCAGCGUUUGGAGAGGAAAUUGCCUUGUGGAUAGCUGAUAUGGGUGUUUGCUCAGGGAGAGCGGUGCGCCUGGGCAGGGAAAGGAAAUUCCUGGAUGCCAAGUCAAAUAUAGGGAAAAGAAAGCAGAUUCUGCAAGAAUAACUAUAUGCUGGAGAGAGAAGUUGAGCAGCCAGUAACUGGCCGGGCAAUGGGUUUGGGCAUGUGGGUGGUGGUCCAAGGGUUGGCAUGCAGCACAUCCCAGU
rnacentral:lncRNA from 1 species